rnacentral:tRNA from 1 species
GGCUCGUAGCUUAGUGGUAGAGCGCCUGCCUCACAUGCAUGAGGCACUGGGUUUGAUCCUCAGCACCA